UAGGUCUGUUCCUUUGUUUUUUAGUGUUACACUUUUGAGUGUAAGUGUACGAAAUUCUAUGGACAUUUGAGUGUAAAAUGACAGCGGAUGUGACAGCGGCUCAUGACAGCGGACAGUAUUAAACGAAAAUUAUCGGUGUGCCAAUCAAGCAAAGGGACAAGGAACUUCCGAAUAUGGCCUAACUGGGGGCACAUAACAUAACAUAACCUAAUCCUAAUAUUUACAUUUGUAAAGAAUAUCCUGUUUGUUUUUAUUGUCGAUUGUGCAGCGAAAUUGUGUGCAGCAAAUCAAAUAUAUAAAGUAGUUUAUCGCCUACAGAACUGAAUUAGUCCAUAGCAGUUAUCAGUUUUUCUUUCUUGGGAAGCUUAUACAUGUAACUUGUAUUGUUGUAAAUUGUGGGAGUAGGGCAGACAGGGAAAAGUCUUAUUUUGUACUGUUCCCAAGGCUCCCCAUGCAAUACAUUUAAAUGAAUUAUCCAAACAAAGCUGGGGACAAUGGAUAAAAGCCACAAGAAGAACAGAUAUAAGGGAACUAAAAUUAAAAUAUGAAAAGUAAACAUUUUAUAAGUGGAACAACCACCAGAUAUUUAAAAGGUAUAAAAAGAAGAAACUGCUGGAAUUUCAAAACAAAUGUGUUUGACUAGUAAAAAUUUGGAUAAAUAACAGGAGUUACUUUGGGCUAUAGCUAAGUGCAGAUUUAUUUCCUUGUGGCUUCCUAUGUUAAUUCUUAUUAAUUAUACACUUAAAUAUGUUUUUAGUCUCAGGAAGAUUUUAUAUUUGAUUAUUUUUGAAUAAACAUUAUUAUUAUUAUUACCUUAAUUUCCAUUAAAUAAAUUAACUGUAAUCAAUAAAGUAAUCGUUUAAUUGUUAAUAAAUUAUCAAGUAUGA